CCCGUUGCCAAGGCGCCGGUUACUAGGUUACCGGGAGGCGCCGGGCGCCCGACUCCCUCCCGGUCAGCCCUUUCAGCCCAGCGCUGCCCUUUCGCCGGUGUGACGGGGCUUCCUGAGGCCGGGGGAAGCAAGAGAGGCCGGGUCACCCCCUGCAGCGGCCAGUCAUCGUUACAAACUAAAGUCCCACGGCGAAAGCCAGUUCCAGCUACCCCCAAAGUUCAAACACUUAAGAGUUCGAAGGAACAGAGAGCCUCCAGCGCGGAAAAACCCCGAGGGAAAACAACCCGAAAUGACGGGGCCAGGUCUUGAAUAUAGAUGCCCUAGGAAAAAAAGGCUCGAAAUAUGCUGGGAGGCAAAACCUACUCAAGAAUCGGCUGGUGUGACUAUACCCGCGAGGGCUGAUUUCAUGCGUCCACGUGACUGGACUCUGGACGCCCAGAGAGCCGGAACAGUUAGAAUCAUCUCAUGAAAUUGAAGACUUGACAAAGUGUUCUCAGCCUAGUGGUAAAGCACACAGACUUUGGAGUCUCAAACCGCUUUUUAGCUUCAACACUGCUAUGUGUUAUGUGAUCUUGGAUAAAUUAUUUAACUUCUUGAA